GUAUGUACAGAAGCACUCUCCGACCUUCCGUAAAUUCACUUAAUGUUUUAUUUUUAUCUCAUUUACUAUUUUAACAACUAAUGAAAAAUCGCGCGUACAGUUCUAAGUCGCAUAUAUUCGCGAUUAGUGGAUAGACUUAUAUUCUAGUGAAAGGUGUGUGAUUUAAGGAGUGAAUAGUGUGAACGUGUAAUAUAGAGUGCUUAUAUUCGGUGGAGGAUUAUUCACUGUCUACAAACGAGUGUUUGGUUCCUCUACAAAGGGGGUUCAAGAAGAACACAGAACAGAAUGGCUAUUUUAGAGCAUGGAUAGCUGAAAUUAUUCGCGUUCAGAAUCAAUCUGAGCCAAGAGUCUGCCAAAACAGAAAUCAUCAAAAGACUAUUGCGACAAUUAAUAUUGACUACAUGAAGUCAUCAUUGAUUAUUAAUACUAUAGGAGUACUCAAUGUCAUUGUUUGAGCAUUAAACUGCACAAUCGUAACACUUCGUCCAUCUCCGGAUUCUCCGUAAAGAGCUACCUUAUGCAAUAAAUAGCCGGUUGGGUUCAGAGUGAAAGAGUAGAUAUUCACCUCUGUGUUGGGCUCAGAACGGACUAUUGUAAUGAAAGGUAGCAGUACACGGUAGGAAGCAGAAAUAUGCGAAUUGGCCCCGGUCAAAAAGUGAAAUAUUGGGAAAGGGUUCAUUUUUUUCUGAAUUGAGCGUGGUGGAGAUCAAGAAGGCGUCCGCGGCUCCGAGAGAGUGUGUGUCUACCGUGGUCUGCUACCUUAAGUGGUUCAUUUUUUUCUGAAUUGAGCGUGGUGGAGAUCAAGAAGGCGUCCGCGGCUCCGAGAGAGUGUGUGUCUACCGUGGUCUGCUACCUUAAGUGGUUCAUUUUUUUCUGAAUUGAGCGUGGUGGAGAUCAAGAAGGCGUCCGCGGCUCCGAGAGAGUGUGUGUCUACCGUGGUCUGCUACCUUAAGUGGUUCAUUUUUUUCUGAAUUGAGCGUGGUGGAGAUCAAGAAGGCGUCCGCGGCUCCGAGAGAGUGUGUGUCUACCGUGGUCUGCUACCUUAAGUGGUUCAUUUUUUUCUGAAUUGAGCGUGGUGGAGAUCAAGAAGGCGUCCGCGGCUCCGAGAGAGUGUGUGUCUACCGUGGUCUGCUACCUUAAGUGGUUCAUUUUUUUCUGAAUUGAGCGUGGUGGAGAUCAAGAAGGCGUCCGCGGCUCCGAGAGAGUGUGUGUCUACCGUGGUCUGCUACCUUAAGUGGUUCAUUUUUUUCUGAAUUGAGCGUGGUGGAGAUCAAGAAGGCGUCCGCGGCUCCGAGAGAGUGUGUGUCUACCGUGGUCUGCUACCAAAGCGUCUCAUUUCAAUCUGAACGCAUCGGACAGUGGGCUACACCACACCGUCAGACGAUCGCCGUUAUGGCGGAAUUGUCCGAGGAGUCCCGAUUGCGUCUCAUUUAUGUCCAAUCGCACAUUCUCGGCCCUUUCCGUCAAACAUCGGAUAAGUACUCCGAUUAUGAUAAUCUGCGAGGGGUACCGAAUGAUUUAUGUCAUGAUCAUUCCAAGCGUUCAUCAUUGAGGUUACAGAAUACUAAACAAUCUCUUGCACGACGGUUACAUUGCAUUCACUGCAUUAAAGAAAACCAUCUCAUACCAUGAUAUCUUAUAUCAGUCUUAAUUCAUUAUUAUAAAAUUGAUUUGUUUUUUUAUGUUAAGAAACCAACAUACAUACACACGUCGAAGCAAUUCCUAACGUCACUCAAAAAAUAUGUUUCAAUGUUUACAUUUGUGAAGUGCGUGGAAUGAUUCAAUCUGCGUUAAUGGGCAAUAAAUUAGUUCCAAAGAGUUGCAUUAAAACUCGCAAGUUUUUGCACGAUUUAUCGUACAUUUAAAAGUCAUUUUUCUUAACUUAAUGCAUGCGAUCUUAAAUAUCCAAUCAAAUAUACGUUGAAUGCGUUUGUUCGGUUUUAUCUAUUUUAUAGACAAAAUGGAGGGCUGAGCCCUUCGCAGAGUUGUAUGUGAGAGCAAGGAACGACAACUCUGCGUGGAGAUUGGUGUCAUGUGUGUGAAGAUCUUGGGCAGCCCGCUGGCGUGCGAGUAACCAUGACCACCACACGAGAUCCUCAGUCUGUCUACUCCGCUACUGGCCGUGUCAGAAGAGAGGGCUUUUAGACCAGCCGACAGAGCAUGGAGCUAAACGUUAUUUAAACCUAUUUAUUUAAGCUGGAAUACAUUGUAAGCUGAAAACGUUUAAAAUACUCCAAUUCCUGGGUAGAACCAGUACUAGAUGUAUUUUAUGGAAGACUAAAGAAUGCUGGGGAUGGAACCAAUAGUCCAUUAGUCGCUAUGCUAGCUAAAAUAGCAUGUUGGAUCUUUAGCACAAAGUGGUGGAAAAAAGAAAACUGUGGAACUUCAUUAAAAUGUGAAGAUAAAAAAAAUACUUAAAUAAAAAUAUCAAGUGGAGCUUAAAUCAAGCAAGGUGGUAAAAAAAGCAUGCUUUAAAAGAAAUAGAAAGGAGAACAAAGAACAAAAUGCGCUAUUUACACUAUGUCUAGCGCGAUUUCUGCCAUCCAAAUCGUAUCACCGUGAUUCAGCCCAGCGUGGAAAAUUACUAUCUCACCACGAUACACCGCUAUACACGGUGAUUUCGCCGUGGCGAAUUGCGGUGUCAGUCUCGGCGUUAUCGGGAAAUUGAUCUCACGGUGGACCACCAUGGUCUAGGUGGUUCGCGGUGAAAUACAUGUGCAACAACAUUAUACAAAUGUACGGUCUGCAAUAUCUAAAUGUACAUGUUCAUUCACAUUGCAGAUCGUAUAUAAUGUUGUUUUUUAAACUUUGUAUGUACAUGUAUUACAUGCACUUCAUAAUAAAAUUACCGAGUGUUCAACUCUUUUCUCUCGUGUUUGCCCUCUUAACAGAAUCAUUGACAUGUCUUACAUCGAGCGUGAGUAUAGUUUGCGCUUCAUGCUUCAGGUUUUGUUUCAAUUGUUUCUGCAUUAAGUUUCCCUUGUUGUUCUUAAUUUAAGAUUUGUUUGGUGUUAACCUUUCGAAAACCCUUGCUUGUUUGUGUACAUAUAUAACUCGCCAACAAUAACAUAAAUACAUGUUACAUGUACAUGUAAUUUGAUAUAGGACUAUUUUUGUGAUUUCCUGUUUCUUUUGUUACAUGUAUUGGAUCGAAUAAAUGUACAUGUACAAAUUCGAGACAUCCGCAGUAAGUAUUAAAUUCCAGGAUAUUUUAAUAUCAUAGUCAUGUGAUUAGAUCAGUUGUCAUGUUGUGAGUGACUAUAUGUAUACCUGUCCUUUGUUCAAUAACAUGUUCAUUUUUAAACAUACACUGUAUGUAAAAUAACGUAAAAAAGAAACCGUAAUAUUAUGGUAAAUAUCGAUUUACUUAUUGUGUUACAAUUAUGUUGUGCAUUGAGCAAAUACAAUGUAUAUUAAAUUUGUAAAGUAUCGAUAAGAAGUGUUGUUUAGAAAUCGCGGUGAAUUUAACGAGUCAUAAUUUCACAUUUAGCUUUUUUAAAACUGUUUUACUCUUUUAUUUCAGAUACGACCAAGAAUAUGGUUUUCCGAAAAUAAUGAGCAUAGUAACAACGCUGAUGGGUUUUUUUAUUAUUAAUAUUUGAAACAUGCAUUUAAAUACUGAUUAUGUUAUAAAUAUGAUUUUGUUAUACAUGUAUAUGUAUGUCUCUUUAUUGUACAUGUGCCGUAUUACAAUACGAAUAAAACGCUUGUUUUCUUACGAAAUAAUGAUGGAGAGUGUGAUGUAUACAUCCAUUUACUAUAUCGAAUAAAAUGGAGAAUCUGA